rnacentral:rRNA from 1 species
AACUGACUAUGUGUCUUUUUUAAAUGGAUAUGUUAUUUUUAAUUAUAUGUAAAAUAGUUGGUUUAAUAUUUAUUUUAGUAGAAACAGAUUAAGAAGUUUUUUGAUAUUCUUAGGUUAAACGAGAAUUAGAUACUCUUUUAUAUGGAAUGUAAUUUUAUAUAUUUCAGUUUUAACUGAAAGAAAUUGGCAGUUAGUUAUUUUCAUCUAGGGGAUUGUGUUGAAUAAAUAGAUGAUCCACUUAAUAGUUUUCCUUCGAUAAUUGUUGUUGGUGUAUAUCCGGUUUAAAAUUAAAAACAUAUGUUUUUAAUUUUAAUUUUGUUAUAAUCCAGGUCAAUAUGCUGCUAAUAUGAGGGUAUAAAUGCAAUACUUUAUAAAAGUAUAAAUUUAAAAUGUUUAUAUAUUUAGGACUUAGAAGUAAUAGAAAAUUAAAAUGUUUUUGUGAAGUUGAUUUAAUUGAGGUACACAUCGCCCGUCAUCUUCGGUAUUUAGCU